rnacentral:rRNA from 1 species
GCUAUUCAGAUGGCGACCGGCGCACGGGUGAGUAACGCGUAUCCAACCUUCCUGCCAGUAGGGAACAGCCCGGCGAAAGUCGGAUUAAUGCCCUAUGUUCUUCAAUGCGGACAUCUAAGUUGAAGGAAAGAUUCAUCGCUGGCAGAUGGGGAUGCGUCCGAUUAGCUUGCCGGCGGGUAACGGCCCACCGGGGCGACGAUCGGUAGGGGUUCUGAGAGGAAGGUCCCCACACUGGUACUGAGACACGGACCAGACUCCUACGGGAGGCAGCAGUGAGGAAUAUUGGUCAAUGGGCGUAAGCCUGAACCAGCCAAGUAGCGUGCAGGAAUGACCGGCCCUACGGGUUAGUAAACUGUCUUUUAUGCGGGGAUAAAGUGCGGCACGUGUGCCGCUUUGCAGGUACCGCAUGAAUAAGGACCGGCUAAUUCCGUGCCAGCAGCAGC